rnacentral:rRNA from 1 species
UACAGAGGUCCCGAGCGUUGUUCGGAUUCACUGGGCGUAAAGGGUGCGUAGGUGGCGAGGUAAGUCGGAUGUGAAAUCUCCAAGCUUAACUUGGAAAUGGCAUUGGAAACUACCUUGCUUGAGGUUUGGAGGGGGGACUGGAAUUCUCGGUGUAGCAGUGAAAUGCGUAGAUAUCGUGAGGAAGACCGGUGGCGAAGGCGGGUCUCUGGACAGUUCCUGACGCUGAGGCACGAAGGCCAGGGGAGCAAACGGG